GCAUCGAUGGUUCAGUGGUAAAAUGCUCGCCUGCCACGCUGGCAGGCCGGGUUCGAUUCCCGGCCGAUGCA
rnacentral:tRNA from 1 species